rnacentral:rRNA from 1 species
UUUUAUGAGAGUUUGAUCCUGGCUCAGGACGAACGCUGGCGGCGUGCCUAAUACAUGCAAGUCGAACGCUUCUUUUUCCACCGGAGCUUGCUCCACCGGAAAAAGAGGAGUGGCGAACGGGUGAGUAACACGUGGGUAACCUGCCCAUCAGAAGGGGAUAACACUUGGAAACAGGUGCUAAUACCGUAUAACAAUCGAAACCGCAUGGUUUUGAUUUGAAAGGCGCUUUCGGGUGUCGCUGAUGGAUGGACCCGCGGUGCAUUAGCUAGUUGGUGAGGUAACGGCUCACCAAGGCCACGAUGCAUAGCCGACCUGAGAGGGUGAUCGGCCACAUUGGGACUGAGACACGGCCCAAACUCCUACGGGAGGCAGCAGUAGGGAAUCUUCGGCAAUGGACGAAAGUCUGACCGAGCAACGCCGCGUGAGUGAAGAAGGUUUUCGGAUCGUAAAACUCUGUUGUUAGAGAAGAACAAGGAUGAGAGUAACUGUUCAUCCCUUGACGGUAUCUAACCAGAAAGCCACGGCUAACUACGUGCCAGCAGCCGCGGUAAUACGUAGGUGGCAAGCGUUGUCCGGAUUUAUUGGGCGUAAAGCGAGCGCAGGCGGUUUCUUAAGUCUGAUGUGAAAGCCCCCGGCUCAACCGGGGAGGGUCAUUGGAAACUGGGAGACUUGAGUGCAGAAGAGGAGAGUGGAAUUCCAUGUGUAGCGGUGAAAUGCGUAGAUAUAUGGAGGAACACCAGUGGCGAAGGCGGCUCUCUGGUCUGUAACUGACGCUGAGGCUCGAAAGCGUGGGGAGCAAACAGGAUUAGAUACCCUGGUAGUCCACGCCGUAAACGAUGAGUGCUAAGUGUUGGAGGGUUUCCGCCCUUCAGUGCUGCAGCUAACGCAUUAAGCACUCCGCCUGGGGAGUACGACCGCAAGGUUGAAACUCAAAGGAAUUGACGGGGGCCCGCACAAGCGGUGGAGCAUGUGGUUUAAUUCGAAGCAACGCGAAGAACCUUACCAGGUCUUGACAUCCUUUGACCACUCUAGAGAUAGAGCUUCCCCUUCGGGGGCAAAGUGACAGGUGGUGCAUGGUUGUCGUCAGCUCGUGUCGUGAGAUGUUGGGUUAAGUCCCGCAACGAGCGCAACCCUUAUUGUUAGUUGCCAUCAUUCAGUUGGGCACUCUAGCAAGACUGCCGGUGACAAACCGGAGGAAGGUGGGGAUGACGUCAAAUCAUCAUGCCCCUUAUGACCUGGGCUACACACGUGCUACAAUGGGAAGUACAACGAGUCGCGAAGUCGCGAGGCUAAGCUAAUCUCUUAAAGCUUCUCUCAGUUCGGAUUGCAGGCUGCAACUCGCCUGCAUGAAGCCGGAAUCGCUAGUAAUCGCGGAUCAGCACGCCGCGGUGAAUACGUUCCCGGGCCUUGUACACACCGCCCGUCACACCACGAGAGUUUGUAACACCCGAAGUCGGUGAGGUAACCUUUUGGAGCCAGCCGCCUAAGGUGGGAUAGAUGAUUGGGGUGAAGUCGUAACAAGGUAGCCGUAUCGGAAGGUGCGGCUGGAUCACCUCCUUUCUAAGGAA